ACAAAAACAUAGUUUAAAGAAAAAGAUUUUAGAUAAAUUCUGCUCAAUGAGUAAAUUAAAUAGCUGCAGUAAAUUAACUGUACUAAGGUAGCAUAAUAAGUUGCUUUAUAAUUAAAAGCUUGAAUGAAAGAAAUAAUGUGAAACAAGCUUUUUAAACUAAAGUAGUAAAAAUUAAUAUUUAAGUGAAAAAUCUUAAAUAAAAUCAAAAGACAAGAAGACCCUUUAGAACUUUACAAAUUAACUUAAUUUCAUUUGGUUAAUUUGUUAGAUUGGGGAGAUUUUUAAAUAAAUAAAUCUUUAGAUAUAAAAAAAUGAUUUAAAUCAAAUUAAAUUAUCCAAAUAUGAAAUAAAACAAGUUACCUAAGGGAUAACAGCGCAAAAUUUUUGAGAAGUUCUCAUUUACAAAAUAAAUUGCGACCUCGAUGUUGGAUUAAGAACAACUUAUAAAGCAAAAAUUUAUAAGAGUUGGUCGGUUUCCCCAAUUUUG
rnacentral:rRNA from 1 species